GUUAUGGUGGGCUAAUGGUUAGUGUGUUGGACUGUGGAUGAAGUGGUCCAAGUUCAAGCCCUGGCCAGGACA